UGGGUGUUAAUUUAAACAAAAUAGUUAAUUUCGACUUAAUAAAUCCGAACUUAAACUCGGACACCCAU
rnacentral:tRNA from 1 species